rnacentral:lncRNA from 1 species
CUUUGAGAUGGUUUGGUCAUGUGGAGCUCCCUUAGUCCUCUAUUUGAGUGGAAAGGGACAAUCAAAAUUUAGCCACCAAGCUUACCAUACAAAAGAAAAGAAAAAAGAAAGACGAGGCCGGACCGCUGUCAAUUCUUACCGGUUCUAGGAAAUUUUCAGAUAAGAGCGCAUCACCAUUUAUGACCAAAGCACCCGUAAACCCGACUGUGGCUGCACCCGACUUAAAACGAGUAAUUAGCCAGAAACCGGCGGGGGUGCUGGGAUAUUUAUUACGGGAAAGUACGGAAUAAAGUCAAACGGCGGGCCAUUUUUGGCCCUAGAUUUGGAGGGCAGAAAAUCGAAAGGAGAAAAAUUAAUUAAAUCGAUACGAUGGCGGGACACCUGGAAAUUGAUCGAGACAUUAAUCCCGCCGGAUUCGUUGCAGAUAAUAAUCUUUCUAAUCGAGCCCGGAUGUCGCCUUAUUUGUAGUAACUUAAAUUAUGAAGAGUAAAGAGGAAUAGAUAACCGUCCGGUAGCGCUAGUAACUUCAAUUUAUCGCGAUCAAAUAACUAUCUGUCCGACUAGACAAAUGGUGUCCGGUUCACCUCUCCCGUCUACGCGUAAUUUAAUAUAUACUAACGCCUUGGACCCACCGGUCGUCCAAUACUGGCUAUCCCACUUCUGGGCAAAGAUACCGAAACUCCUUUCCCAUAUUUCGUCCCUACUCGGACCCCUUGUCUUAUUUUUUAUCCAAAGCCGGCUCGGAUAUUUAUGCUCGCUUAAAAAUUCCGAGAUGCGGCGUCAAAAUCGCCCUUCCCACUCCCGGUUUCUUAAAACCAUUAGGCGCGUUUUUAACUGUUAAAAAUGAGACGGGAGGGUUAAUGGAGAAAAUUACCGACCCAUCAGCUCUUUCUUUAUUAGCGUCGGCCCAGCGCUUGACCAACCGGUACCACGUUACUUGGGUGCCAAAAUUUUGGACUUUCAGGAUGGCGGGGCGCAUUUCCGCUCUUGUCGACGUUCGUUAGGUGUUUUCUGGUUGAGCGUACAGUUGGAUUCGAGAUACACCUGAAAAUGUUGUUCACCCUAUCCCGCCUCUUAUGGUCAAACGCGGACACCGGGCCAUUGAAAUGUUAUUACGGGUGAGUAGGUCGAAAAGUCGGUGUCGAUAACGAUGUUUUCGCCGAUCAACUAAACCGCCGGCGGAUGGUCAGCUGGUAAAGUUACCGCUCGACACUUGACAGAAUCCAAGUACUAUUCCGGGUCCCGAAGCUCGAAAAAUGACUCGGGCCCAACCCUCCCUCCAGAUUUUCGGGAAAGGUCUGGGCCUGGCCCGUUCAACCCAUUCUUCGAAUUUACGAUUGAGCCCAUGGUGGAGUCGGCCGGAUUUGGCCGCGUGGAAACGCUUCGGCUUUCCAC